rnacentral:rRNA from 1 species
UACGUAGGGUGCGAGCGUUAAUCGGAAUUACUGGGCGUAAAGCGUGCGCAGGCGGUGAUGUAAGACAGUUGUGAAAUCCCCGGGCUCAACCUGGGAAUUGCAUCUGUGACUGCAUCGCUAGAGUACGGUAGAGGGGGAUGGAAUUCCGCGUGUAGCAGUGAAAUGCGUAGAUAUGCGGAGGAACACCGAUGGCGAAGGCAAUCCCCCUGGACCUGUACUGACGCUCAUGCACGAAAGCGUGGGGAGCAAACAGG